AAACAUGUCUUUUUGAGUUAUUUUUAAAGUCUGACCUGCCCACUGAAUAAUUAAAUGGCCGCAGUAUUCUAACUGUGCAAAGGUAGCAUAAUCAUUAGUCUUUUAAUUGAAGGCUGGUAUGAAUGGUUGGACGAGGUAUUAACUGUUUCAAGUAAAUUUAUUAUAGAAUUUUAUUUUUUAGUCAAAAAGCUAAAAUAUGAUUGAAAGACGAGAAGACCCUAUAAAUCUUUACUUUAAAUUUAUUUUAAUUAUAAAGAUAAAUUUUAUUAUAAUAAACUUUAAAGUUUUAUUGGGGUGAUAUUAAAAUUUAAUAAACUUUUAAUUUUAAAAAUACAUUAAUAAAUGAAUAAUUGAUCCAUUAAUAAUGAUUAAAAAAUUAAGUUACUUUAGGGAUAACAGCGUAAUUUUUUUGGAGAGUUCAUAUCGAUAAAAAAGAUUGCGACCUCGAUGUUGGAUUAAGAAAAAUUUUAGGUGUAGCCGCUUAAAUGUUAAGUCUGUUCG
rnacentral:rRNA from 1 species